UGGCAGCCCACGACUAUCCGUCAGUGACAGUUGCAAAGAAAACGAGAAGGUACUUCCCAAUAUCACCAGAAAAGUCACGUACGAGUACGAAAAUUGUCCACCAGACGCGAGUGUUCUAGAUUCGCGUGAGUUAAAGGCUCCGAUUCCUCCGGACACUGGACUUUUGGGCGCUUCGACCCGGGACCGUAUUCAUUGCAUUUUUUGACUUCCUCAUCGAUGUACGAGCAACCAUCGAAUUCUGCCUAUUGGCGCCAUCGACCACUAUUUGAUGCUUAUUCGGUCCUCUGCUGAUAAAUGGUUCCGUCGUCGGUCGUGUUGAGGAAUGCGUAUCAUGCAGCUGGUUUACUCGAGGAGACUCGGUACUUUCGUCACGAUCCGGCAAAAUUGCGGGGUUGCACAAUUGGGAGAUUCAUGGGACACAACAGGAACAACCAGUUUCUUCGGGUUCGGAUUUGGAUUAAUAAUAGUAUUCUAUGAAAUAUGCUGUAUUUAUGAAACAUAAUAA